CCCAUCAAGACCGCAUCCAUCGCCCUCAGCUUCGAUCCAUCCACCCACCCAAUCCAGAUCGAGGCUACAACAGUGGUUUGGGCGACUGCACGAACGAGCAGCUGCCGCCACCGCAGAAGGGAGUAGCUCGCCGCCACCUGGACUUGCCUCGUUGCCGUAUUGCCGCCGCCUAGACUCUCCAGGCCACCGCUGCCUCUAGGUAUUUCCUUCGUCUGCUAGGCAUUCAACCCAGACUUCUCAUCUCUCUCUUUUCCCAUCCCCUCGCCCGCGACACAGGUUGCGUCCUGUUUCCGUCAUCUCCUUCAGCUCGCAUCCCAUGGAGGAGCAGUCCUUGAUCGUUCCUGUCCGUGGUGGAACGACUCCUCCGUCUUCCCCCAGCCGCCGCCGACUUCUCUUGUCUUUUCUCCUGAAGCUGCAGCACUAGGAGAGAGGAUGGAGGUUGUGGAUAAAGAGAAUAGGAAGUGAGAAGUGGGGGAGAUGGAAGAUGCAAUGAGAGCACUUGAGAACAGAGCAAUGCAUUCAAAGCAAGACAUGGACAUACUUGCCGCUUUAGAAGAGAUGUUGUCGAUGAAAUCUAGACAUGUUGGAGUCUCCGUUGACCAGAUGCAUGAACUUUUGAAGCAUUCCACUCAUCAAAAGG